rnacentral:rRNA from 1 species
CGCGUAGGCGGUUUGAUUAGUUAGGUGUGAAAUUCCUAGGCUUAACCUGGGGGCUGCACUUAAUACAGUCAGACUUGAGUUCGGAAGAGGGUUGUGGAAUUGCCAGUGUAGAGGUGAAAUUCGUAGAUAUUGGCAAGAACACCGGUGGCGAAGGCGGCAACCUGGUCCGAUACUGACGCUGAGGCGCGAAAGCGUGGGGAGCAAACAGGAUUAGAUACCCUGGUAGUCCACGCCGUAAACGAUGUGUGCUGGAUGUUGGGUGACCUAGUCACGCAGUGUCGUAGCUAACGCGGUAAGCACACCGCCUGGGGAGUACGGCCGCAAGGUUGAA